UUUUACAAUAUUUAACUGUGUUUUUUUACAGUAAAAUACUGUUUUUAUAGUUUUACUGUAAUAUCACAGUAAUGCAGAUUCGCUCACUGACUAUUAACUAUCUGCUGUGAUAUGACAGCAAAUUACUGUAAAAAUACCUAUUCAGCUGAGAACGAAGGCGCCAUCUUCAGUCUGGCUACUUUACAUCUCACGACGACACGACAGGACGCAGGAAUAUUCUCUUGGCACUGAUGAUGCUAUCUGAUGUAUAAAGGUAAGUGACGAGGUAAAUAAAAAGUGCAUAUAGUUAAAACAAAAAUGGAUCUAAGCAGUUAUUUAUGCGAUGUUAGAGAUCUGGCUAUCUAGCAAGUUAGCGUUUCAUAGUGGUGGUUGAAAAUCCCUGACAUUGGCAUGAAAGCAGCCGAAAAAUGACCUUAAAAACUUAGAAAAGUGCUUUACAGCAGUUGUUUAUGAUGAAUUAUGUUUUUGUUACCAAGUUUUGUUAAAGGACGGCUUGCAAUUUUUUUUUUAAUGAUCCUAUGUUUUGUGCAAUUAUUUUAAGUGAACGUAAUCGAAAUUUAUUAAGUCUUUGGAGAGAGGUGAAUAAUCUUGAACAAUUUUUUUGGUGAAAGAAAAAAUAGGCUAGUCUCUAGUGCAUGGCUAACUUUACAAAGUUUGAACUUGAAGAAUGGGCGGGAUGUCCCAGGGUAGCUCGACACGGUCAUCCAUUUUGCAUUAUCACUGUGAACUUAGAAGACGACGCACACGAGAAGUUCUGCUGAGAUAUUAUUUUCCGUGUUGACUUUAUCUUUACUUCAGUUAUUGCUUCAGAGGUGCUUCCUGGGCAUCAACCCUGAUACAGGAUCUAAAUCCAAGAAGAAGCAGGGAGGCAUCAAUCAGCAAGUUUGUUCUCUGCUGCGCAAACUUGUGGAUUUUGAAUGGAUGGCAACAUGAUCAGAUUUUGUGUUAAAGGAGAACUCCGGUCAAUUUUAACAUUGAGCUCAUUUUUUUGUAAAUUUGGAGUGCUGUCAAUACAGAGAACAACGACAAAAAUCGGUGUUGCCUACACUUGUUAUCCUCUUUUUAAAAUUUGCACCCUGUUGACUUCAAUUGGGCAAUGUUUAAACCUGCUUUUAGCCUCUUAACAUCCUUGAUGUGUCAUUACAAGUGCACAGCCAAUGUGAGUGAUUCCUUCAGAGUGAACACGAGUGAAUCUGACUGCAGUAGAUGUGAAAAAUAUGAAUAAAAAUGAAGUUUUUGUUUAGUAUAUGUUUAGUUACCUAUGAUCACGCGCAUGAACUCGACAAUCGACUACUUUGGACUUCAACCGAAAACAGGAAGUAAAUACAGGUAUGAGCGCUGGCCGAAUUAACUUCAUUUUUAUUCAUAUUUUUCACAUCUACUGCAGUCAGAUUCACCCAUGUUAACUCUAAAAAAAUCACUCACAUUGGCUGUGCACUUGUAAUGACACAUCAAGGAUGUUAAGAGGGUAAAAGCAGGUUUAAAAUAUUGCCCCAUUGAAGUCAACAGGGUGCAAAUUUUAAAAAGAGGAUAACAAGUGUAGGCAACACCGAUUUUUGUCGUUGUUCUCUGUAUUGACAGCACUCCAAAUUUACAAAAAAAUGAGCUCAAUGUUAAAAUUGACCGGAGUUCUCCUUUAAGUAUGUACUCGCAUGAAACCUGUGUGUUGGGGCUUGGGUUACCAUGUUAUUUGUUUUAAUGGUAUUACUUUUUUCAUUUGCUCUGGUCAUUGUUGGCUCUCUCCGUUUUUACUUGCCAUAUCGCCACUGAAUAUGUUGGACUGCCCUUCUGGUCAAGACCUUCACUUCUACCUAUUGUUUUGGUAUUUACCUCUAGCUGUGUUUUUUGGAAUGCCAUCUCGUUGCCAACUCUUGCCCGUUGCCGACUCUUGCCCGCUGUUAUGCAAUGACUCUUGCAACGUUUGUUAUGAUAUUGUUGUAUCAAUUUUAUUGAAAAUAAAAUCAAUUGUGGAA
ensembl:lncRNA